rnacentral:rRNA from 1 species
ACCGGCGGCUCGAGUGGUGGCCACUAUUACUGGGCUUAAAGCGUUCGUAGCUGGAUUGUUAAGUCUCUUGGGAAAUCUUACGGCUUAACCGUUAGGCGUCUAAGGGAUACUGGCAAGCUUGGGAUCGGGAGAGGUGAGGGGUACUCCAGGGGUAGGAGUGAAAUCCUGUAAUCCUUGGGGGACCACCUGUGGCGAAGGCGUCUCACCAGGACGACUCCGACAGUGAGGAACGAAAGCUGGGGGAGCAAACCG